rnacentral:rRNA from 1 species
CCUACGGGAUGCAGCAGUGAGGAAUAUUGGUCAAUGGGCGCGAGCCUGAACCAGCCAAGUAGCGUGAAGGAUGAAUGCCCUACGGGUUGUAAACUUCUUUUAUAAAGGAAUAAAGUGCGGCACGUGUGCCUUUUUGUAUGUACUUUAUGAAUAAGGCUCGGCUAACUCCGUGCCAGCAGCCGCGGUAAUCCGGAGGGUCCGAGCGUUAUCCGGAUUUAUUGGGUUUAAAGGGAGCGUAGAUGGGUUGUUAAGUCAGUUGUGAAAGUUUGCGGCUCAACCGUAAAAUUGCAUUUGAUACUGGCAGCCUGGAGUGCAGUUGAGGUAAGCGGAAUUCGUGGUGUAGCGGUGAAAUGCUUAGAUAUCACGAAGAACUCCGAUUGCGAAGGCAGCCUACUAAACUGCAACUGACAUUGAUGCUCGAAAGUGUGGGUAUCAAACAGGAUUAGAUACCCCAGUAGUC